ensembl:lncRNA
GCCAUCCACAGGGGCACUGGAGAGCUGCCUGUCACUUCCUCGGGAUGGAGGUAUCGAGGUUUUACAUUUACUAAAGGGUCUCAUUAUGUAGUCCAGUUUGUCCUCCAACUUGCAAUCCUCCUGCUUCAGCCUCCCAAAUGCUGAGAUGACAGGCUGAACCACCAGGCCCAGCAAGUUGUGUAAAGUUGAAUAAAUUACUCAGCUCCUCUGUGCCUCAGUUUCUUUUCUUUUUUUUUUUUGCUUUCUUUGAGAAAGGAUUUCACUUUGUAGUUCAGACUCAUUUUGAACUCAUUAUGUUGCCCAGGUUGGCCUUAAACUUGUGGUGAUCCUCCCACCCGGGCCUCUGGGGUACUGGGAUUAC